GAUGAACGCUGGCGGCGUGCUUAACACAUGCAAGUCGAACGGAAAGGCUCCUGCUUGCAGGGGUACUCGAGUGGCGAACGGGUGAGUAACACGUGGGUGAUCUGCCCUGCACUUCGGGAUAAGCCUGGGAAACUGGGUCUAAUACCGGAUAGGACGAUGGUUUGGAUGCCAUUGUGGAAAGUUUUUCGGUGUGGGAUGAGCUCGCGGCCUAUCAGCUUGUUGGUGGGGUAAUGGCCUACCAAGGCGUCGACGGGUAGCCGGCCUGAGAGGGUGUACGGCCACAUUGGGACUGAGAUACGGCCCAGACUCCUACGGGAGGCAGCAGUGGGGAAUAUUGCACAAUGGGCGCAAGCCUGAUGCAGCGACGCCGCGUGGGGGAUGACGGCCUUCGGGUUGUAAGCUCCUUUCGCUAGGGACGAAGCGUUUUGUGACGGUACCUGGAGAAGAAGCACCGGCUAACUACGUG
rnacentral:rRNA from 1 species